UGUAAUUCUUUUUGUGUUUAUAUUUAUUAAAAAGUAAAAUUAAUUUAAUUUUUUAUAAAGAAUAAGAAUUAAUAUUGAAGCUAGUAAUUUUUGGGUUUAAACUAGGAUUAGAUACCCUAUUAUUCCAAAAUAAAAUUUUAUCCUUAGGUUAGUAUUAGUUAUUUACUUAAAAUCUAAAAAAUUUGGCGGUAAUUUAAUCUUUUCAGAGGAACCUGUUUUUUAAUCGAUAAACCGCGAAGAAUCUUGCUUAUUUUUGUAAUAGUUUGUAUACCGUCAUUAUCAGGUAAUUUUUAAAGAAUAAAUUACUGUAUAUAAAAGUUUAGAUAAAUUAGAUCAUGGUGCAGCUUAUAUUUAAGUUAAAAUGGGUUACAAUAAGUUUUUGUUAUUACGGAAAAGAGAUUUAAAGUCCUUUAUAAGGAGGAUUUGAUUGUAUUUUAAGUUUAAUAUGCUUAGGAGAUAUAAGUUCUAAAUUAUGUACAUAUCGCCCGUCGCUUUCACUUAUAGGU
rnacentral:rRNA from 1 species